rnacentral:lncRNA from 1 species
CUUGACUCCUUUCUGCUUAAUAAUUUGAAAAUCAAAACUUAAUUGGUCAUAUCAUCAAAAAUAUUAUGUUAAGUGACAUAAGCCAGGCAAAAAGACAAACACGAAGAAUUUUUAAAAGUCCAUUUCAUAGAAAUAGCAGAAUCGUGGUUAUCAUGGGCUAGGCAGGGGAAGGGAGCAGGGCCAAUGAAGAGAGGUUGCUCAACAGGUACAUAAUUACAGUUAGUAGAAGGAAUAAGUUCUAGUGUUCUAUAUAUUUUAAUUUUAUUUUUUUAUUUUUUUUGAGACAGGGUCUUGCUCUGCCACCCAGGCUGGAGUGCAGUGGCACAAUUAUAGCCCACUGCAGCCUUGGCUUCCUGAGCUCAAGAGAUCCUCCCACCUUAGCCUCCCAAGUAACUGGGACUACAGUUUCAGGUAUGUCUUUAUCAGCAGUAUGAAAAUGGACUGAUACACAUGCCAUACCUAUAUUUCUGACUUACAAAAGCAUGAGCUAAUAAACAUGUGCUGUUUUAAACUGCUACGUUCAUGCUUCCUCUCAGUAUCUGAUGACAAUGAGAAAUGCAUUUGAAGAGAUAAACACUUCCCGAAAGACCAUCAUGAUAGGAGCUGAUACUCACAGAUGCCUUAGUGAAUGAUUACGUCUCAGGAUGCCAUAAGGAAUACACAGAAGGGUACAAUCUCAAGCCUGGCUCAGACUACUCCACCUGCCUUCCUGGCUUCCCCCUCCAGCUUGCAGAUUGUAGAUCAUGGGACUUCUCAACCUCCAUAAUCACAAGAGCCAGUAUUCUGUGCCAGGUACUCUUCUGAGUUCUGUGGAUGUGUGUGUGUAUUUUGUUUCUCCGGAGAACCGUGACUAAUACAGAUACUUAUGGUCUCUUUUUGUGCAAUUUCCAAUUAACAGGGAAGUUAAAGUGAACAGUUGCAUUUGUUGUCAAAACAGCAUCCCUAGAGUCACCUGGAGGGCUUAGAAAACACAGAGUACUGAGUCCAUUCCAAGAGUUUCUGAUUUAGGAGGUCUGGGGUGAGACCCAAGAAUUUUCAUUUCUAAUAAGUUCCCGGGUGAUUCUGAAGCUGCUGGUUGGUAGACGGCGCCUUGAGAACAAAUGCCAUAAAAGAGUAAAUUUUGUAAAUAAUUGAAUAGUCCAGACUUUAGUCACAUUCUUGUUCUCUCUCCCAACCAGUUCUUAAUCAGAGGAAACAACAUCUUGAGCCAGCUUGAAAAAUUCUGUUCUUAUUUGUUUAGAAAAUUGUACAUAAAUCUCCAAUGGGCUAUCUGUUCUAUCUCUGACAAAGUCCUUGUGUCCCAUUAUAAUAGAGGCUCUGCAAGCAUAGCAAAAUGUCAAUUUUACUGCUAAAGAGCAAGUUCUUAAAAAGUGCAUUUCACAAAGUAUAGGAAAAUAGCCAAUUAAAAAAACUUUUCUCACAGCAGGACAUCCCUUUAAGUAAUCUAAUCAUAAAGAAUAUCUUGUAUUUCUGCAAAAAGUUGCAUUAUGACUAAUAUUAACUUAAGAUGAGAGAUUUUACCAUUUGCUGCCUUGUAGAAGUUAUUGACUUUGUAUAUUUUUAAUAAAUGUCUCUAUUGCACUCACAAACUAUGCUCGCAAGAGAAGCUACCAUCUAGCUGGUCUCUCAAUGUCCUUGUCUAUUUGUGAACACUUCC